ACCGGCUUUCUCCGGGAGGAAAACCCUGUGCAGAAAGCAGCCCUAGUUCACCUCCGUGAUUCCCCUGGUUUGGAGGAGCGGGAUCUGAGCAGCACUAAGGGAUCGCACCCGCCCUGCCACAGGGAUGCUGUCCAAGGAGCGUUUUCACUGUGGGCUAAAGUAGCAAGUUCCUGUUCUGCAAGUUCCUCCCAUGAAUUCAGUAUUUCCAAGGUUCUGUGUGAGAGAAGAUGAUGGCAUCCUGCCCUGGACCUGCUUAUACUUUGAGGAAGAAGGGACAGAAAAACUUCAGUUCUACAGGGGCUCCUGGCAGCCUGUGAAGGGGAGAAAGUUAAGCACUUCCCAAAAUCAAGAGAACUGUGUGUGAAAAGAGAAUAAAAGUCAUAGUUCACCAAUGGACCAGAAGAGCCACCACCAGAACUACCACUGCAAGAUGGAAAUUUGUAAGGUGGCAGAAGCUCCAGCCACAUGUCCAGAGAAGAAAAUAACUUUUUUUCAAAAUAAAGCUCAGUUGCACUAGUACCAAUAAAGAUGAGGUACAGAAA